rnacentral:misc_RNA from 1 species
UCUCCGUAGGUGAACCUGCGGAGGGAUCAUUACAGAGUUCAUGCCCUACCGGGUAGAUCUCCCACCCUAUGUUAUUAUUACUUUGUUUCUUUGGCGGGCCGUUAGGCUCCGGCCCGACUACCGGCCCCGGCUGGUAAGCGCCCGCCAGAGGACCCAAAACCCUGAAUAUUAGUGUCGUCUGAGUACUAUAUAAUAGUUAAAACUUUCAACAACGGAUCUCUUGGUUCUG